rnacentral:rRNA from 2 species
GGCGAGUGAAGCGGCAACAGCUCAAAUUUGAAAUCUGGCCCUUUCAGGGUCCGAGUUGUAAUUUGUAGAGGGUGCUUUGGCGUUGGCUGUGGUCUAAGUUCCUUGGAACAGGACGUCGCAGAGGGUGAGAAUCCCGUAUGUGGCCGCCAGUCUUCGCCGUGUAAAGCCCCUUCGACGAGUCGAGUUGUUUGGGAAUGCAGCUCUAAAUGGGAGGUAAAUUUCUUCUAAAGCUAAAUAUUGGCCAGAGACCGAUAGCGCACAAGUAGAGUGAUCGAAAGAUGAAAAGCACUUUGGAAAGAGAGUCAAAAAGCACGUGAAAUUGUUGAAAGGGAAGCGCUUGCAGCCAGACUUGCCUGUAGUUGCUCAUCCGGGCUUUUGCCCGGUGCACUCUUCUAUGGGCAGGCCAGCAUCAGUCCCAGCGGUUGGAUAAAUGCCUGUUGAAUGUACCUCUCUUCGGGGAGGACUUAUAGCUUCGGGCGGCAUACAACCAGCCGGGAUUGAGGUCCGCGCAUCUGCUAGGAUGCUGGCGUAAUGGCUGUAAGCGGCCCGUCUUGAAACACGGACCAAGGAGUCUAACAUCUAUGCGAGUGUUUGGGUGUCAAGCCCGAGCGCGUAAUGAAAGUGAACGGAGGUGGGAACCCCUCGGGGCGCACCAUCGACCGAUCCUGAUGUCUUCGGAUGGAUUUGAGUAAGAGCAUAGCUGUUGGGACCCGAAAGAUGGUGAACUAUGCCUGAAUAGGGUGAAGCCAGAGGAAACUCUGGUGGAGGCU